rnacentral:rRNA from 1 species
GAACGCUGGCGGCAGGCCUAACACAUGCAAGUCGGACGGUAGCACAGAGAGCUUGCUCUUGGGUGACGAGUGGCGGACGGGUGAGUAAUGUCUGGGGAUCUGCCCGAUAGAGGGGGAUAACCACUGGAAACGGUGGCUAAUACCGCAUAACGUCGCAAGACCAAAGAGGGGGACCUUCGGGCCUCUCACUAUCGGAUGAACCCAGAUGGGAUUAGCUAGUAGGCGGGGUAAUGGCCCACCUAGGCGACGAUCCCUAGCUGGUCUGAGAGGAUGACCAGCCACACUGGAACUGAGACACUUGCC